AACCCGUGGUGUGGACAAGAGUUCAAAAGAUCUUUGUAACAUUCCCAAACUUGGUAUAAGGUUUCACUCUCUUUUUGUGCAAAGUUUGAGAUUUGUCUCUUGAGGUU